rnacentral:misc_RNA from 1 species
AACGCAUAUGGCACCUGCUAGUUCUACUAGGAGGUAUGCCUGUUUGAGAAUCGUCUUUCUUGAUCCUCUUUCAUCUUUUCGUGAGAGGGACAUGGGCCUUCAUCAGUGAUUGCCUCGAAUGCGGCGUGGUUGUGUCGUGAUAAAAUUGAUCGGCCAAUCGUGUUUUGUCAGCGAUCUCAAAUCAGGCAGGAUGACCCGCUGAACUUAA